UACAGGGGGUGCAAACGUUGCUCGGAAUCACUGGGCGUAAAGCGCACGUAGGCGGCUUUUAAGUCAGAGGUGAAAUCCUGGAGCUCAACUCCAGAACUGCCUUUGAUACUGAGAGGCUUGAGUCCGGGAGAGGUGAGUGGAACUGCGAGUGUAGAGGUGAAAUUCGUAGAUAUUCGCAAGAACACCAGUGGCGAAGGCGGCUCACUGGCCCGGUACUGACGCUGAGGUGCGAAAGCGUGGGGAGCAA
rnacentral:rRNA from 1 species